rnacentral:rRNA from 1 species
UUCCGUAGGUGAACCUGCGGAAGGAUCAUUACCACACCGAUCCAAAUACCCACACACACACCGUUGAAUUUAUGUUAAUGAAAAGGUUGGCAACGACCUUUGCUUACACGAAUUAAACAACUUUUUUUAAAUCAAUUUUAUUACAUUAAAUUGAUUGAAAUUUUUCAAUCAAGAACAUUUUAUCUUUAAAAUUUUUAACAACUUUAAACGAUGGAUGUCUUGGUUCCCACAACGAUGAAGAACGCAGCGAAAUGCGAUACGUAAUGCGAAUUGCAGAACUCAGUGAAUCAUCAAAUCUUUGAACGCACAUUGCACUACCGGGUUUCCAGACCUGGUAGUAUGCUUGUUUCAGUGUCGGUAAACACCACUCGCCCCAACAUUUCUUAGUGUUGUGGUUGCGGAUUCUGAGUUGUCUGAGUUUUUUAUCAGUCACUCUCAAUACCAUACGGAGGCAAUCCAUUUAUUCGUUAUUGCUCUCCACCUUACCGCAUAGCAUUGGUGAUUCGCUUCGGCGAUGAACAUCGAAAGCUAGGCACUCAAGGGGGAAAGUAAGAAUGUUUGGAGAGCAUUUUUAUUCCGAACUUUUAUCGUAUCGAGGUAGGUCAUUCAUGUGAUCUAUCUCGAUACAACUAUCUUUACAUUCUGAUCUGAAAUCAAGUAAGAGGACCCGCUGAAUUUAAGCAUAUCAAUAAGCGGAGG